UACAGGGGGAUAACAGUUGGAAACGACUGCUAAUACCGCAUAAGCGCACAGUAUCGCAUGAUACGGUGUGAAAAACUCCGGUGGCACAAGAUGGACCCGCGUCUGAUUAGCUAGUUGGAGGGGUAACGGCCCACCAAGGCAACGAUCAGUAGCCGACUUGAGAGAGUGAUCGGCCACAUUGGGACUGAGACACGGCCCAAACUCCUACGGGAGGCAGCAGUAGGGAAUAUUGCACAAUGGGGGAAACCCUGAUGCAGCGACGCCGCGUGAAGGAUGAAGUA
rnacentral:rRNA from 1 species